rnacentral:lncRNA from 1 species
GUUAUUAUACAAGCAGGUACAAGAUGCUGCAAUUUAAGAGAAAGUGAGAAACAGAAUUUAUAUGAUCAACUGGGGUUAAGCAAAUAUUCUUUUAAGGAAUAAGGAGUAUGUUAGUUUUCUUUAUGCCAUGAAGGAAGAUAUUUGUUUAGGUAGAAGGUUUUUACCAAGUUCUAGAUCUCAUCAUCAAUCGAGAUCUAUGUUGCCAUGUAGAAAGCAAUAUUUUUUAACCGGAGCCGCAUUUUUCUUCAUUGAAUUAAGUAUUGCAAGAUUUUAUUUUUCUUUGCUUGGUACAACCAUGAGGUUUUUUUUUGUUUCUUCUGCUUCCUUUCUUCGUAUCUUCUGUUUGGUCCCUGAAGGCUAGAAGCAAAAAGUUCAGUAAAAUUAUUGAUAAAGCAGUCAGGUAUCUCUUCAUUUGUACUCAUAUCCUGCCCGAAAUUUUCAAUGAAGACGAUUCUAAU